GAUGAACGCUAGCGGCGUGCCUAACACAUGCAAGUCGAACGUGAGAGGGUACUUGUAUCCUUGAAAGUGGCGGACGGGUGAGUAAGACGUAGGUGACCUGCCUUGAAGUGGGGGAUAACCAUUGGAAACGAUGGCUAAUACCGCAUAAGCUGGUGAUGAUGGGAAUCGUUAUCAGGAAAGCUUUAGUGCUUUAAGAGGGGCCUACGGCCGAUUAGCUAGUUGGUGGGGUAAAGGCUCACCAAGGCGAUGAUCGGUAGCUGGUCUGAGAGGACGAUCAGCCACACGGGAACUGAGACACGGUCCCGACUCCUACGGGGGGCAGCAGUGAGGAAUAUUGGGCAAUGGGCGAAAGCCUGACCCAGCAACGCCGCGUGGAGGAUGAAGGCUUUAGGGUUGUAAACUCCUUUUGUGGGGAAAAGAAUGGAUGGUACCCCAAGAAUAAGUCACGGCUAACUACGUGCCAGCAGCCGCGGUAAGGCGUAUGUGU
rnacentral:rRNA from 1 species